UCCCUGGAGGACUAGUGGUUAGGCCUCGGUGCUCUCACCACCACGGCCUGGGUUCAAUUCCCGGCCAGGGAA
rnacentral:tRNA from 1 species